rnacentral:rRNA from 1 species
CGGGACGGGUGAGUAACGCGUGGGUAACCUGCCUCAUACAGGGGGAUAACAGUUAGAAAUGACUGCUAAAACCGCAUAAGCGCACAAGACCGCAUGGUUUGGUGUGAAAAACUCCGGUGGUAUGAGAUGGACCCGCGUCUGAUUAGCUAGUUGGAGAGGUAGCGGCUCACCAAGGCGACGAUCAGUAGCCGACCUGAGAGGGUGACCGGCCACAUUGGGACUGAGACACGGCCCAAACUCCUACGGAAGGCAGCAG